rnacentral:rRNA from 1 species
AUUGAACGCUGGCGGCAGGCCUAACACAUGCAAGUCGAACGAGUGGCGGACGGGUGAGUAAUGUCUGGGAAACUGCCUGAUGGAGGGGGAUAACUACUGGAAACGGUAGCUAAUACCGCAUAACAUCGGAUAUGACCAGAUGGGAUUAGCUAGUAGGUGGGGUAACGGGUCACCUAGGCGACGAUCCCUAGCUGGUCUGAGAAGAUGACAAGCCAUACUGGAACUGAGACACGUUCCAGACUCCGACGGUAGGCAGCAGUGGGGAAUAUUGCACAAUGGGCGCAAGCCUGAUGCAGCCAUGCCGCGUGUAUGAAGAAGGCCUUCGGGUUGUAAAGUACUUUCAGCGGGGAGGCGUUACCCGCAGAAGAAGCACCGGCUAACUCCGUGCCAGCAGCCGCGGUAAUAC